AGCAGCCGCGGUAAUUCCAGCUCCAAUAGCGUAUAUUAAAGUUGUUGCAGUUAAAAAAGCUCGUAGUUGAAUUUCGGGAUUAGUACGCUGGUCGUGCCUUCGGUACGUACUGGUUUUACUGAUUUCUACCUUCUGACGAACCAUCAUGUCAUUAAUUUGGUGUGGUGGGGAAUCAGGACUGUUACUUUGAAAAAAUUAGAGUGUUUAAAGCAGGCUCGCGCUUGAAUACAUUAGCAUGGAAUAAUGAAAUAGGACGUUGAUCCUAUUUUUGUUGGUUUCUAGGAUUGACGUAAUGAUUAAUAGGGAUAGUUGGGGGGCAUUAGUAUUCAAUUGUCAGAGGUGAAAUUCUUGGAUUUAUUGAAGACUAACUACUGCGAAAGCAUUUGCCAAGGAUGUUUUCAUUAAUCAAGAACGAAAGUUAGGGGAUCGAAGACGAUCAGAUA
rnacentral:rRNA from 1 species